rnacentral:rRNA from 1 species
GGCCAGACUCCUACGGGAGGCAGCAGUGGGGGAUAUUGCACAAUGGGGGAAACCCUGAUGCAGCGACGCCGCGUGUAGGAAGACGGUCCUCUGGAUUGUAAACUACUGUCCCCAGGGACGAAGAUGACGGUACCUGGGGAGGAAGCUCCGGCUAACUACGUGCCAGCAGCCGCGGUAAUGCGUAGGGAGCGAGCGUUGUCCGGAAUUACUGGGUGUAAAGGGAGCGUAGGCGGGGAUGCAAGUUGGGUGUUAAAUCUACCGGCUCAACUGGUAGUCGCACUCAAAACUGCAGCUCUUGAGUGAAGUAGAGGCAGGCGGAAUUCCUAGUGUAGCGGUGAAAUGCGUAGAUAUUAGGAGGAACACCAGUGGCGAAGGCGGAUGACUGGACGGCAACUGACGGUGAGGCGCGAAAGCGUGGGGAGCAAACAGGAUUAGAUACCCCCGUAAUG